AGAGUUUGAUCCUGGCUCAGAUUGAACGCUGGCGGCAUGCCUUACACAUGCAAGUCGAACGGUAACAGGUCUUCGGAUGCUGACGAGUGGCGAACGGGUGAGUAAUACAUCGGAACGUGCCCAGUCGUGGGGGAUAACUACGCGAAAGCGUAGCUAAUACCGCAUACGAUCUAUGGAUGAAAGCGGGGGAUCGCAAGACCUCGCGCGAUUGGAGCGGCCGAUGGCAGAUUAGGUAGUUGGUGGGGUAAAGGCUCACCAAGCCGACGAUCUGUAGCUGGUCUGAGAGGACGACCAGCCACACUGGGACUGAGACACGGCCCAGACUCCUACGGGAGGCAGCAGUGGGGAAUUUUGGACAAUGGGCGCAAGCCUGAUCCAGCCAUGCCGCGUGCAGGAUGAAGGCCUUCGGGUUGUAAACUGCUUUUGUACGGAACGAAAAGUCUCUUUCUAAUAAAGAGGGAUCAUGACGGUACCGUAAGAAUAAGCACCGGCUAACUACGUGCCAGCAGCCGCGGUAAU
rnacentral:rRNA from 1 species